AUUGAACGCUGGCGGAAUGCUUUACACAUGCAAGUCGAACGGUAGAGGGGGCAACCCCUCGAGAGUGGCGAACGGGUGAGUAAUAUAUCGGAACGUGCCCAGUCGUGGGGGAUAACGUAGCGAAAGUUACGCUAAUACCGCAUACGAUCUAAGGAUGAAAGCGGGGGAUCGCAAGACCUCGCGCGAUUGGAGCGGCCGAUAUCAGAUUAGGUAGUUGGGGGGGUAAAGGCUCACCAAGCCAACGAUCUGUAGCUGGUCUAAGAGGACGACCAGCCACACUGGAACUGAGACACGGUCCAGACUCCUACGGGAGACCGCAGUGGGGAAUUUUGGACAAUGGACGGAAGUCUGAUCCAGCCAGUCCGCGUGCAGGAUGAAGGCCCUCGGGUUGUAAACUGCUUUUGUACGGAACGAAAAGGUCUCUCUUAAUACGGGGGGCUCAUGACGGUACCGUAAGAAUAAGCACCGGCUAACUACGUGCCAGCCGCCGCAGUAA
rnacentral:rRNA from 1 species